UGGGGAAUUUUGGACAAUGGGCGCAAGCCUGAUCCAGCCAUGCCGCGUGAGUGAAGAAGGCCUUCGGGUUGUAAAGCUCUUUCAGUUGGGAAGAAAAGGGAGUCUCUAACAUAGGCUUUCGAUGACGGUACCGACAGAAGAAGCACCGGCUAACUACGUGCCAGCAGCCGCGGUAAUACGUAGGGUGCGAGCGUUAAUCGGAAUUACUGGGCGUAAAGCGUGCGCAGGCGGUUGUGUAAGACAGGUGUGAAAUCCCCGGGCUUAACCUGGGAAUGGCGCUUGUGACUGCACGGCUAGAGUACGGCAGAGGGGGGUGGAAUUCCACGUGUAGCAGUGAAAUGCGUAGAGAUGUGGAGGAACACCGAUGGCGAAGGCAGCCCCCUGGGCCGAUACUGACGCU
rnacentral:rRNA from 1 species